GACGAACGCUGGCGGCGUGCCUAAUACAUGCAAGUUGAACGCAACAAAGACACCAGAGCUUGCUCUACCGUUUUUGUUGAGUAGCGAACGGGUGAGUAACGCGUGGGUAACCUGCCUUAUAGCGGGGGAUAACUAUUGGAAACGAUAGCUAAUACCGCAUAACAAUAGAGAUUGCAUAAUCUUUAUUUGAAUGUGCCAACUGGUACACUAUGAGAUGGACCCGCGUUGUAUUAGCUAGUUGGUAGUGUAAUGGACUACCAAGGCGACGAUACAUAGACCGACCUGAGAGGGUGAUCGGCCACAUUGGGACUGAGACACGGCCCAAACUUCCUACGGGAGGCAGCAGUUAGGGAAUCUUUCCGGGCAAAUU
rnacentral:rRNA from 1 species